ensembl:lncRNA
CUACAAUGUGUUUGAGGGCUGAGAUCAUCAAGGAGCAUUCCUGCACAUUGCUGAAGGGAUCAUUUCCCAUGAAAAAGAUUCACUAUGGCUGUAGAGAACUGGAAUGGUUCUCCUUAUGUUCCCCUGCAGCUCUGCAAAAAAAUGGCAUCUCUUAUUUUUUCAUUCCCUGGUCCUCAAAACAGUCUGAUCUGAAAACCGGGGAUUUCGGAAGGCAUUCUGUUUCCUACCGGUGCUUUAGGUUCCUUUUGCUGGUUAGCUCUAAUUCAGCACAAUUAAAAGAUCAUCCUUCCUUAUCUUCCUUCUGUGGCUAUUUCCCAAAAAAGCCAUCCAAACCUUUUGUCUGGUGAGGACAAGCUGCCUCGCCUGCAGCAGUCAGCCUUCCAGCAGCCAAGGCAAUGCCACCACUGAGGCCAAUGGCUGGUGAAGGUGCAUGGAAAUGCAGGUGGUGGGGUGUGGGCUGUGUAAGCCGGCAGCUGCAGGCCUGGCAGGGACAUCCCGAGAGCAAACGGAGCAGCAAUGUAGAAUUGUGCCUGGAGCCAGCAACACCACUGAACCCAGCUACAGCUAACACAACAUGCUGUCUGACAGUCACAGCACGGCUGAGGUUGGAGGCACCUCGGGGUCCCUCUGCCCCAGCAGAGCCACCCAGAGCAGGGCCCAGCCCCACGGGCAGCUCCAAGGAGGAGACCCCACAGCCUCAGGGCAGCCUGUGCCAGGGCUCUACCACUGCACAGCACAGCAGUGCUGCCUGAUGGGCAGAGGGAACUGCUGUGCUCGGUUGUGCACACUGCCUCUGCUCCUGGCACUGGGCACCACUGCAAGGAACCCAGCUGUACCCUCUUUGCAGCUCCCUUAGGGCAUUUAUGGAUAUGGAUGAGCUCCCUCCGAGCCUUCUCCAGCUGAACAGCCCUGGCUCUCUCAGCCUCUCCUCACAGGAGAGGUGCUCCAAACCCCUCAGCACUUCAGCGGGUCCUUAGUUGUACUCUCUCUAGUAGCCCAAUAUUUCUCAAUACUGAGAUCAUUCUUUUUUUUCCUUUUCUGGCAAUGAUAGAACACAAGAAUCAGCAUUGAUGAUACCAAGAGCACAAAGAAGUGGAAGUUAAAAAACAGAGAAAGAAGAGAGAACCGCCAAGCUGAAGCAAUGUUAUCAGCAGAGAUCGGUGCAAACACAGCCUCCACAACUCAGCAAGAUGCACCUCCGAGUGCUCCUGGAAGGAUCCUGUGUCAGGAUCGAUAUCUAUAGACAACCUCUAUGAAGCCAAAAAGGAAGCAUUUCUGUGUAUCAAUACACAAUGCCUUACGAGGAAGAAAAAAGAACAUCUUCUUUUUAACUGCCACUCAGUGCUUUUGCUUUUUAAACUGUCUGAUGGCCAAGUUCAAAUGCAAUUUGUCCUGCACAGUCAUUGCCCAAAGUGGACAACAUAAUUAAUCAUCUAUCCUCAUGCACUUGUGACUUAAAAUGACUUUUAGCUAAAUACUCUUACCCUAGCUCUCCCCUUGAUUAAUCCUGAACCAUGUAAGCAUGAAUUUUAUUACUGGCUCUCUCCUUCUGUCAGCUGGAAUGUCACGCUGGAAUAUAAUGAAAAUAAAAUCAUAGUAUGUUCAUUUCCCCACUGCUCUAAAAAUGCCAUUUAUUUCCUUUUUGAAAUACUUUUUAG